UAUAUAUAUAUCAAUGUAAUGAUACAACAACAGUCUUAGGAAUACAAGUCAAACUGAGUUACAUUCUGGUGAAGUUACUUAUUUCCAUUGAAGCCAUUUGUUUUAGCCUCAUCUUUUACGGUAGAAUUUAUGUCAUGAGGUUAAGGCAUUUUCUUAAUUUUCUUAAUAGUUCAGAGAUAUAGCAAUUCUAGCUGCAGUUCUACCAUUACUAUAAGGGUGCGUUUGGACAUACACCCCAAGUUGCAGGUGGAAAUGAUUUUUGGCUGAAUGGCUGGCAGUUCAUUUUGCUGCACCAUAUGGGUGGCAAGAAAACAGGACCACAUGAAUACCAGUUUUGUGUUUUCUACCUCAACCAAUAUAUAGGGUGUGUCAGGUGCAACAAGCAUUGUUCUGGAUUUUGAUUUUGGGAGAAACAAUCCUGCCAGCUCAACAGAGUGAUGUAGGCCCAUUGCCUACCAUGGGGUGAAACUUGCGCUGAAUUUUGGGCUGUUUGCUACAUGUUUUGGGUGUUAAAUGUCAGAGGCUACCAUUUACUAAUUUUGGAAGAUGAGGGGCCGAUUUGAAGAUAUGAUUGUCAAUUCUUUGUAUAUUUUGCAGAUUAUUUUCUGGAUAUACUAUUUUUCUUUAUCUCAAACCAGAUAAAGAAAAAUUUUAUAUUUUUAAUUAUAUAUUACAAUUUUAGGUCGUGCGAAAAAUUUCCUAUUAACUAAAUUAUGUAUUUCAAGGUUAUUUUCUCCAUCAACGCAAGGCAGAGAUGACAGAUUCCCUGAGAAAGAAUGUUUCUUGUUGCUUGCUUUAUGCAGGUUCAUAUGUAUGUAGAUUCUCAGGAAAAGGUUAUAGCUCAGUAUCAGCGGAAAUGGUAAGAAGGCAAGCUUUAUUUCUAGGUGACUCAGAGCUGCAGCAACUGCUUCACAUCUUCAGGUGUGGAUAUAUUGGUUGGCGUCACUGAUUUCCUUUUUGUGUGAUUCUUCCAAAGAAAAUUAUUGUUGACUUUUUCCUUUAUCACAAGAUGAUUGAUUAACAUGGUGUGUAGAACAGACUUCUUUGUACUUUGUAUGCAAUGAUGUUUUUUUUUUUUUUCUUUUUCUUUUUAUAAUGUUCACUUCCUGGAUUCAAUCUCUACCUGAAAAUUUUCCUUGUCUGGUGCUACUUCCUGUCAGUUUUUGUAGCCAAAAAGCAUUAUACAGAUGAUUUGCCUUGCUUUCUCAAGACCAUAAAAAAUAGAUGGCAGAUGUUUCAAUCCAAAUUUCAGGCUGGAGAUAUUUGUUUAGCUGUCUAAUGCAAGUGCUCAGGUCCUAGCCUCUGUUUGAGCAGUUAUGUCAGAGGACUUGGUGUUGCUUUUCCAAUCGAUGCUCAUGCUUGGAAUUAGUAUUGGACUUGCUUUCAAUGUGGUUUUGCUUUCAACUGAUAAAAGAUCAGGACUAAUGGAUAGGUUAGGUUGUUCACACCCUCGACCUUUAUGGGCAUGGUGCAUUAACGUGGGAAAGCGAUUCAACAUGGUUUUGGGAAUCACCCAGGGGCUUCUUUGUCUUCACCAAGAUUCUAUAUUUCUUUUCACAUAAAUUUCUAAUGAAAUGUUUCAGCUUAAGAUCAUAGUUAAAUUUUUACCAGUGCUGCUACUAAUAUUUGUGGAUUCUACAGUUUGUAUAUGAAUAUCCAUAUUAGCCUUUGUGGAAAAAUUUGUAUGUAGGUCUUUAUGCUUGUAAUCAUUCCAUUGAAUGGCCCAUUCAUAAAUUUGUCCCUGUAUCUUCUAUUUUAACUGCCUGAUGUAGCAUGUAUAACUAUUGACAUGACCAUGAUAAGGCUGAUAAUUGAUUUUUGGUAAUUGUAAUGAUGGUAAUCAAUAGAUAAAUGGUACAUAUUACUGGGCUAUGGGCCCCACUUGUCAUUGUUGAAUACCUGUGUAUACUGUUAAGAGACGCCCAUUACGUAUGUAGGGAGUUAUUUGAUACUCUGGCAGCAUAUGACUUUUUUACUAAAAGUAUGUCUCUAAUCAUUCCAUCAAAAUUAUGUUCCGCUCAUGCAUUUACUAAAAGUAAAUGAGGCUAAUCUUUUCAAAUGAAUUCUUUUUGUCUCGUGACAGUAGACGUGGGUCCACAAGCACCAAGCAUCUUUUAAAAGGUAAGCUUCGGAUAAUUAAGGCAGCAAAAAAUGGUUCAUGCUUUCUUGAAGUAUGGAUGUUUGGGCAGUCCCAAACAUAGACACCUGCUGAAGAUGUUAAACCAAUGUACCUACAAUAUGUGAAGCUGGAAGAAGAUUAUGGGCUUGCAAAGCGUGCAAUGAAAGUCUAUGAGCAAGCUAUGAAGGCUGUCCCUGAAAAUGAAAAAAUGAACAUGUAUGAAAUUUACAUAGCACGUUCAACUGAAACUUUUGGUGUCCCAAGUACGAGGGAAAUAUACAAGGUGUAUUUGGGUGGACAAUACAUAAACAAUCCUACACUGUCAGAUGUUACGUUUCUAGUUGAAGGUUGUAAAUCAUUCUUGACUGAAUCAAUUUGGUAGUCUAUAUGCUCUCAUUCUUUGGGGCUUUAGAUAGAAAUGUUGGAAUUAUAAUUUGCCUACUAGAAAGUCCCAAAAUUUAUAUGGUGAAAAAAGGGCAUUCUCCGUGCAAUGUUUGACGGUUGUUAUCAGGUGAGUCCAGCCAUAUUUUCACAUUCAACACAUGGUACACCAGUACAUUGUCAUACAUCUUCACGCAAGGUGAUUUGCAGGCUUUCUAGUCAAUAGCAUUUCCACCUACAAAGCCAUGGCAUGGUUUCUUGGAAACAACAGCUUGUCCGAUACACUGCCAUUCCAAAAAAGCUAUAAACUUCUUAAUGUGUUUUAGGCAUGGAUGAAUGGGAGCUAGAUCGAUGGAUUUUAUUUAUUUAUUUAUUUAUUUUUUGAAACUAUUCAAUUUAUUAUUGUAAAUAUUAUUUGCGGCAGCUCUAGUAGAGUAGAGAAGGGAAAUGGCUACAACAUCGAACAAAGAAGCCUCCAUCUACUUGCUUAUAAGUUGCUUUGUAAGCCAUAGCCCAUCCUACCAAUGCAACAACCAUUUUUUUUUGGCUUGCA